AGAACGUACGCUGGCGGCACGCCUAACACAUGCAAGUCGAACGAAGUAGCAAUACUUAGUGGCAGACGGGUGAGUAACAUGUAGGUAUCUACCCUUUGGCCUGGAAUAACACGAGGAAACUUGUGCUAAUACCGGAUAAGUCUUUACGGAGAAAGCUUUAUGCACCAUUGGAUGAGCCUGCACUUGAUUAGUUUGUUGGUAGGGUAAUGGCCUACCAAGACUGUGAUCAAUAGCUGAUUUGAGAGGAUGAUCAGCCACAUUGGGACUGAGACACGGCCCAAACUCCUACGGGAGGCAGCAGUGGGGAAUCUUGCACAAUGGAGGAAACUCUGAUGCAGCGAUGCCGCGUGAGUGAAGAAGGCCCUUGGGUUGUAAAGCUCUUUCGUCGGGGAAGAAAAUGACUGUACCCGAAUAAGAAGGUCCGGCUAACUUCGUGCCAGCAGCCGCGGUAAUACGAAGGGACCUAGCGUAGUUCGGAAUUACUGGGCUUAAAGAGUUCGUAGGUGGUUGAAAAAGUUGGUGGUGAAAUCCCAGAGCUUAACUCUGGAACUGCCAUCAAAACUUUUCAGCUAGAGUUUGAUAGAGGAAAGCAGAAUUUCUAGUGUAGAGGUGAAAUUCGUAGAUAUUAGAAAGAAUACCAAUUGCGAAGGCAGCUUUCUGGAUCAUUACUGACACUGAGGAACGAAAGCAUGGGUAGCGAAGAGGAUUAGAUACCCUCGUAGUCCAUGCCGUAAACGAUGUGUGUUAGACGUUGGAAAUUUAUUUUCAGUGUCGCAGCGAAAGCAAUAAACACACCGCCUGGGGAGUACGACCGCAA
rnacentral:rRNA from 1 species